ACUUGUACUGUGAAACUGCGAAUGGCUCAUUAAAUCAGUUAUGGUUUCUUUGAUGGUACCUUGCUACUUGGAUACCCGUAGUAAUUCUAGAGCUAAUACAUGCAGGAGUGCCCGACUUCGGAAGGGCUGUAUUUAUUAGAUAAGAAACCUUCUCGGGUUCGCCCGGUUGUGUGCUGAGUCAUAAUAACUGCUCGAAUCGUACGGCUCUACGCCGGCGAUGGUUCAUUCAAAUUUCUGCCCUAUCAGCUUUCGAUGGUAGGAUAGAGGCCUACCAUGGCGUUAACGGGUAACGGAGAAUUAGGGUUCGAUUCCGGAGAGGGAGCCUGAGAAAUGGCUACCACAUCCAAGGAAGGCAGCAGGCGCGUAAAUUGCCCGAAUCCUGACACAGGGAGGUAGUGACAAGAAAUAACAAUACAGGGCUACUUCUAGUCUUGUAAUUGGAAUGAGUACAACUUACAUCUCUUCACGAGGAUCAACUGGAGGGCAAGUCUGGUGCCAGCAGCCGCGGUAAUUCCAGCUCCAGAAGCGUAUAUUAAAGUUGUUGCAGUUAAAACGCUCGUAGUCGGGUUUCGGGUCGGGCCGAGCGGUCUGCCGAUGGGUAUGCACUGUCUGGCGCGGCCUUCUUUCCGGAGACCGCGGCUACUCUUAACUGAGCGGGCGUGGGAGACGGAUCGUUUACUUUGAAAAAAUCAGAGUGUUUCAAGCAGGCAG
rnacentral:rRNA from 1 species